UUCCCUUCCCUAUUCUAACUUUCCUGAGGGUGUGUUCCUCGGCCACUCAUUUACCCUUGGGACAUCAGAGAGGAAGGGUGCACGUUCCUCGCUACCCUUUCUAGAUCACUUUUUCGGCCUCGCGGGGAACUGAAAGCCGGCAGGAUGACCGAAGAUGACCCGGAGGCGGCAUGCAGGGGAAGACACGAGGAGGAUGAACGUCAGAGAGGAGAGAGUGCACAAUCAUCAAGAGUGGGAGAGACUCACAACCCGGCCAGCCCCAUAAGAGACGAACAAAGACGGAAGAUGAAGAAAGAAGUAAAGCCUAGUCGUCGGUGAGUAAAGGGGCUGCUGUGUGGCACGGCGCUGAGGAGGCUGGGGAGGGAGAACCACCAACUACUGCCCGGGACACCUGUGGAGGAGAUGCAGAGUGAGACACUACAUCAGGAAGAGGAGAAGGGCAAGGAGGGAGAUGCUGGGAGAAGAGAUGGAGGGAAUAACUACAAGAGACAAGAUGCUGGAAGAAGAAAGGAGCUUAGCAAGAGAGCUGUGAAAGAGAGAGGACACAUUACAUCAGGAAGAAAAGAAGGGCAAGGAAGAUGCUGGGAAGAAGAGAAGAGAAUGAACUAGAGAAGAAAGCAGCAACAGUAUAUGGCACCCUGGCUCUGAGGGUGAGUGCAAGGGUGCCAUAUUGUGCAGAGGGGGGGACGCAGGGGUGUUGCAGGAAAACGAACACAAUGAACAACUCUCUCUCUCUCUCUCUCUCUCUCUCUCUCCUCUCUCUCUCUCUCUCUUCUCUCUCUCUCUCUCUUCUCUCUGGGGGGAGGGCAGGCUAGCAAAAGGCACUCCAGGCUCUCUCCUUCCUUGUGUGACAGCCUGGGGACAUGAGACAGAGGGAGAGAUAAGAGAAUGUGAGUCCUCUACUACUACUGCCUCUACUGCUGCAAUCACCUUCUCUUGCCACCCACUACAGCUUCAGUCUCUUGAUCUCCUCAGCCUUGAAGUCCACUCUGAAAACAAAGCACAUGGUCACAUCACACGCCUCAUCCCUCUGCCUCUUGAAACCAACUUAAUGGAGCGUUAAUUAAGAUGAAUAUGACUGAGAGGAAGAGUGUAGCAUUGUAUUGGGACAAGUGGAAGUGUUGAGGGGUGGAGAAUAAUAAACUGAAGUACAUGACAAGACUGUUUUCAUCACCUCAGCUGGAGAGAGAGGAGGAGGAGGAAAGGAACAGCCAGAAGAGUGUAACAUUGCAUAGGACAAGGGUGGGUGAUGCUGGGUAAGAGAGUAACAGUGCAUGGCAAGAGUGUUUUCAUUACCUCAGCUGGAGAGAGGGGAGGAGGAGGAAAGGAGCAGCCAGAAGUGUAACACUGCAUAGGACAAGUGUAAGAUUUGCUAAGUGAGAGAAUAACAAACUAAAGUAUAUGACAAGAGAGAGAGAAGGAAGAGGAAGGGAACAGCCAGAAGUAUUCCAUUGCAUAAGAUAAGGGUGGGUGAGAGAGUAACAAACCACAGUGCAUGGCAAGAGUGUUUUCAUUACCUCAGAUGGAAGGAUGAGAGGAGAGAAGGAAGGAAGAGGAAGUGUGAUACUUGAAAUAGUCUUACUGAACUCAUCUUUGGCACUCAAUAUAUAUAACCAAAUGAGUGUUUUUAGAUGUGGUGUGAAGUCUCAAAUCAUCUGACUAUAUAUUAUUUUAUGACCAAUACCUGAGUGAUAAUUAUGUCAGUGUGAUACUUGGAAUAGUCUUACUGAACUCAUCUUUGGCACUCAAUAUAUAUAGCCAAAUGAGUGUUUUUAGAUGUGGUGUGAAGUCUCAAAUCAUCUGGCUAUAUACUAUUUUACAACCAAUACCUGAGUGAUAAUUAUGUCAGUGUGAUACUUGGAAUAGUCUUACUGAGCUCAUCUUCGGCAUUCACUAUAUAUAUAACCAAAUGAACCAAAUGAGUGUUUUUAGAUGUGGCGUGAAGUCUCAAAUCAUCCGACUAUAUACUAUUUUACGACCAAUACUUGAGUGAUAAUUAUGUCAGUGUGAUGCUAGGAAUAGUCUUACCGAGCUCAUCUUCGGCAUUUGAUAUAUAUAAAGAAUUGUGUGUUUUUAGAUGUGGUGUGAAGAGCCUCAAAUCAUCUGGCUAUAUACUAUUUUACAACCAAUACCUGAGUGAUAAUUAUGUCAGUGUGAUACUUGGAAUAGUCUUACUGAGCUCAUCUUCGGCAUUCACUAUAUAUAUAACCAAAUAUGUGUUUUUAGAUGUGGCGUGAAGGGCGUCAUGCAAAUUAUUUUUUAUGUAUCUUACGACAUAUAUGAAUUUUUAUCCUGAUGUUGAUAAUGAAUAAAGUUUUCUGACCUGUGUGAGCAAGAUGUGUCCUCCUCCUCUUCUUCGUCUUUGGACCUCUGCUGCUUCUUAGGUUUCUUCUUCUGCUCUGUACCUUCUUUGGACAUUUCUUCAGCCACUCUCUCAAGCUGGUCAUCCAUUGCAUUCUUCAUUUACUUAUCUUUUUGUUGCCAGUGUUCAGUGUUGCCAGGUGGCUCACUCCUGCACCAUCUUCUGUUGUCUGUGCGUUUGUUAUCCAGUUUUUGCAUCAUACUUCUUGCUGGAAUGGCUUGGCAACAGUCCUUGCCACAUACACACCUAGAUAGAUGGAUGGGUGGACAGGCCUAGUAUAUAGACACAUACUUACCACAGAGUUUAGACUAGAGUGGCAGGAGUUCCAGGGCACUUCUGAAGGCGGAUUUCUUAUAUAUAAGGGCCGUAUUACAAGUCCAACUGUAGAAGUUUCGGGUCCCCACAGAGUUUGGUCUCGGGAGGACUUUUUGGGUUCCAAAUGUCGGUAUUACAAGUCACUUAUAUUAUGGGCCAGCCAGUCGGGGCUGUCCAGUGUACCAACCGAUGCGAUGAACAGAUGAAUAACAUUAUCGAAAUCAGCAAAAUCCAUUUUUUUUCACUGCCAAAACAUGUAAUUAAUAUUAGUUACUAAAACUGUAAAUGACAUUUAUACUGACAAUGCUUUUUUGUAUUUACAAAUGAAGGGAAAAUACAUUUUAGGAGUUCUGAGGCUGGAAUUCCAGGGAGGCCACAGUCUACUGUUUAUUUAUGCUUCUGUAUGAUUUAUAGCAUGCAGUACCUCAUGAAAAUGUUACUAUUUUAUUAGAAAAGGAUAAGGACAUAAGGCAUACAUCAUAUAAAUGCUUAAUUCAAGAUAUUAAUGUGACGAUACUCUAAUGUGUGUUUUUCUGAGUCCUUCUUAUUCACGUUUUCUCUCACGCAGUUCAAUGAGGCUCCAUUUUCUGUAAUAGAAUAAGAGGCCCACUGCACUAAUGUGUUGGAUUGCUCUCUUGAAGUCUUGGCUAAUAAGCCCAUGAUACACCAUUUCAAUGUGGCAGUAGCUUUGAAAGCAUCAUGAACAAUAAUAAUAGCACAGACAACGGUCAUAUACGCAACUGUCUUCCUCCUCCUUGUGAGUGGUGACGUGAUCGCCUAGAACUCAUGAGGGUAACUUAAAUUCUUUUACCGUAGCUUCUCUUUGAUCAAAUAAAUUUGUAAUGGGUUUUCUUGACAGUUUAAUAGCAAUUUCUGGAAGAAACAUCACUAAUGCGUGUCACUGUGAAGAAACAGAUGAAAAAGUUAACUAUUUCAUUUAUCAGGAAGCAGCCUUCGGGCUGGGGGGGCACCCGAGGAAUCUCUCCCGAACGUUCAAGUAAUGCUGCCUGACCCCCACUGAAACGUGCGACUUGUAAUACCAACACCCGCUGAUCAUUGAAUCCAAAACUUCUCAGGUUUGGCUUGUAAUACAGGCCUAAUUCUUCAUCCUUAACAUAUAAACAGACCUAGAUAGAUACAGGCCUGGUAUAUGGACACAGAUGGAGUUUAAAAUAGAGUGGCUAAGGCAUUUGAGAUGUUAACUUCUGAAGGCAGACUGCUUAUAUAUAAUUCCUCAUCCUUUCCAUAUAAACAGACCUAGAUAGAUAGCCAGGCCUGUUAUAUAGACACAGAUGUACCAUGGAGAUUAGAAUAGAGUGGCAACAGUCCCAAGGCAUUCUGAGACGUGAACUCCUGAAGGCGGAUUGCUUAUAUAUAUUUCCUCCUCUUUGACACAUAAACAGACCUAGAUAGAUAGCCAGGCCUGGUAAAUAGACACAGAUGUACCAUGGAGAUUAGACUAUAGUGGCAACAGUCCCAAGGCAUUCUGAGACGUGAACUCCUAAAGGCGGACUGCUUAUAAAUAAUUCCUCAUCCUCACCACAUGUAUAUAGAUAGACAGGCCUGGUAUAUAGACACAGACUAGACUAGAGUGGCAGCAACAAUCCCUAGGUAGUGUGAGGGCCCACCAAGCCUCGCCGAGUGGGUCAUACACUGCACUAGCUUUAUCUUACUUGGUAGAAUGGGUAUGGAAAGAAAGGCCGUGUGAUUCUCAUAUUAAUGUUGCUAAAAAGAGGUAAAAUAAAUAUAGGAUAACGUGUAUAAAAAAUUGUUUACAAGCACACCGACUCAAGACCUUACACCACAUAACAUUCUCUACGACUGCACGAUUGUUGGUUGAGUUUGAUCACCUAUUGACGAGCCUAAUCUUCAGCACCUGAUCGACUUCUGACCUGAAAAACAAAACAGACGAACAAAACGAUCACGAAACGGAAAACAUCUCAAAAUUUCUGCGUUGACAACGGUGGAAACUUUAGUUCAGCGAUGCCGAGCCACCAGGAGCAGCGUUGCCAGACCACCGCGCUGAGGUCCACAUUUAGAACCAUCUCGGGCUCCCACCACGACUAUUGCCCAAGCCCACGGGGAAGAUUAACCGGGUUUUCAUGGGGGUGACUUUCCCGUUGAAGGUGCAGAGGCCGUGUAAAACUAUCACCGGCGGGAUCACAAAACAGUCCGUGAAAAUCCAGAACUUCCCCGAAAGGCUUUUCAAAUGGGUGAACUGAGGUGCCGAGACGUCUAAAAAUGUCUUUCGCACAGUGUAUAUCCCAGCUCUGACCAAUAACUAUAAAAAAAUAUAAAAAACAAUUAUCAAAGGUCUUAAUAGAAACUCAAAUUGAAUACCAUCACUCGAUCCUCUUGACUCUUUUGUGGAAGCAAUGAAUGGCGGGCUUUUUAUUUUUCAUUACUGUUUUUUUCCCCCUUGAACGUUUUCCUCUACUGAAAAAAUAAAAAUAAAUAAAAAAUAAAUAAAAAAAUAAAAAAAUGUGUAGGUACUUGCGACAGUCUGGGUCUGAAACAUGGAUACAGUGACCUGAGCGCGACAAUCUGGCAACACUGUUCAGGGGUAUGGAGACUGACUGUUGUUCUGACGUGACUUGGAUUACUCUUACAAUAUCAUGGCGUCAGGAGUGUCCACGCAUACAGGCCCUGACAACGCCGUUACAGCCUGGCAGGAGCACUCGGGGAUUAUACUCUGUCCAUAUUAACCCCUUCAACACGAGGAUGCGUAUACUGCGUCCUUACAUGCGCCGUACCAUAUCCGAGGACGCGCAUACUGUGUCCUGGCUCACUUUAGCCAAUAUACGAGUUAUUUCAUCUCUUUAUAUUUAUGCGUACAUCUCAAAAUUAUCAAUUAACGUGUUUCUUUAUGUGCACCAUUUAAUUCUGCAUGCUUUCAUAUAUAAUACAUGAUGAUUAUGUUGAGUUUAUGGCUGAAAACUUUCUAUUCAAUAGCGACAUUUGAAAUUUGGAGUACGCGCCGAUCUCAGAUAUGGCGCGGGGCGCUGUUUUGGCCCAGCCGUAGUGAAAGGGUUAAGUUGGGAAAUAGGAGUUUUAAUUUUUUAGUUUGCAAUAUCCUGCCUUGGCAAAUUUAGACAAGGAUUUUUAGGCCAAUGUGGGACUAUUACUGGACUCCAACUUCUGCCCAAAAGACAAUGAUUAGGUUACAAUUUCCUUCCUGCCUUGACAAGUUUGAACUGCAAGGACUUUUAUAUAGACCAGUUGGGUUUAGGCUGUGGAACUAAGUGGACGACAACUUCCACCAAAACAAAGAACAAGUUACAGUGUCCUGCCUCAAGACUGGGACUGAUACUGGAUGACAACUUCCACCAAAACAAAGAACAAGUUACAGUGUCCUGCCUCAAGACUCUGGGAGUGAUACUGGAUGACAACUUCCACCAAAACAAAGAACAAGUUACAGUGUCCUGCCUCAAGACUGGGACUGAUACUGGAUGACAACUUCUGCCAAAACAAAGAUUAGGUUACUGUGUCCUGCCUCAAGACUGGGACUGAUUCUGGAUGACAACUUCUGCCAAAACAAAGAUUAGGUUACUGUGUCCUGCCUCAAGACUGGGACUGAUACUGGAUGACAACUUCCACCCAAAACAAAGAUUGGGUUACUGUGUCCUGCCUCAAGACUGGGACCGAUACUGGAUGACAACUUCCACCCAAAACAAAGAUUGGGUUACUGUGUCCUGCCUCAAGACUGGGACCGAUACUGGAUGACAACUUCCACCAAAACAAAGAUUGGGUUACUGUGUCCUACCUCAAGACUAUGGGAGCGUUACAGGACGACAACUUCCACCAAAACAAAGAUUGGGUUACUGUGUCCUGCCUCAAGACUAUGGGAGCGUUACAGGACGACAACUUCCACCCAAAACAAAGAUUAGGUUACUGUGUUUUGCCCUUACAAAUUUGUACUGCAAGGAUUUUUAUGCCAAUAGAAUUCAAGACUGCAGGACUUACUUUAUAUCAACUUCUGCCAAAAACAAAGGUCAGGUCACAACUUUUUAGACCAAUGGGAUUCAAGACUAUGGGAUUGUUACUAGACCUCAACUCCUGCCAGAAACAAAGGUCAGGUCACAUUUUUUUAGACCAAUGGGAUUCAACACUAUGGGAAUGUUCCUAGACCCCAACUUUUGCCAAAAACAAAGGUCAGGUUAUGAUCUUUUUAAGACAGUGGGAUUCAGGACGAUGGGACUGUUCCUAGACCCCAACUUCUGCCAACAACAAAGGUCAGGUUAUGAUUGUUUAGGCCAGAUGGGUUCAGAAUGCAGGACUUACUGGACACCAACUUCCAUCAAAAACAAAGGUCAGGUCACAACUUUGAAGACCAAUGGGAUUCAAGACUAUGGGAAUGUUCCUAGACCCCAACUUCAGGUCAGGUUAUGAUUGUUUAGGCCAGAUGGGUUCAGAAUGCAGGACUUAGUGGACACCAGCUUCCAUCAAAAACAAAGGUCAGGUCACAACUUUUUAGAACAAUGGGAUUCAAGACUAUGGGAAUGUUCCUAGACCCCAACUUCUGCCAAAAACAAAGGUCAGGUCACAACUUUUUAGACCAAUGGGAUUCAAGACUAUGGGAAUGUUCCUAGACCCCAACUUCUGCCAAAAACAAAGGUCAGGUUAUGAUUUUUAAGGCCAGAUGGGUUCAGAAUGCAGGACUUACAGGACGCUAAGUUCAC